rnacentral:rRNA from 1 species
GGGGAUGACGUCAAAUCAUCAUGCCCCUUAUGUUCUGGGCUACACACGUGCUACAAUGGCCGGUACAGACGGAGGCGAAGCCGCGAGGCGGAGCAAAUCCGAAAAAGACCGGUCUCAGUUCGGAUUGCAGGCUGCAAUUCGCCUGCAUGAAGUCGGAAUCGCUAGUAAUCGCAGGUCAGCAUACUGCGGUGAAUACCGGUUCCCGGGCCUU